rnacentral:rRNA from 1 species
UACGUAGGGUCCGAGCGUUGUCCGGAAUUACUGGGCGUAAAGAGCUCGUAGGCGGUUUGUCGCGUCGGCUGUGAAAACCCGGGGCUCAACCCCGGGCCUGCAGUCGAUACGGGCAAACUAGAGUGUGGUAGGGGAGACUGGAAUUCCUGGUGUAGCGGUGAAAUGCGCAGAUAUCAGGAGGAACACCGGUGGCGAAGGCGGGUCUCUGGGCCAUAACUGACGCUGAGGAGCGAAAGCGUGGGGAGCGAACAGG